CCUACGGGUGGCAGCAGUGAGGAAUAUUGGUCAAUGGACGAGAGUCUGAACCAGCCAAGUAGCGUGAAGGAUGACUGCCCUAUGGGUUGUAAACUUCUUUUAUAUGGGAAUAAAACGUUCCACGUGUGGGAUUUUGUAUGUACCAUAUGAAUAAGGAUCGGCUAACUCCGUGCCAGCAGCCGCGGUAUUACGGAGGAUCCGAGCGUUAUCCGGAUUUAUUGGGUUUAAAGGGAGCGUAGGUGGAUUGUUAAGUGAGUUGUGAAAGUUUGCGGCUCAACCGUAAAAUUGCAGUUGAAACUGGCAGUCUUGAGUACAGUAGAGGCAGGCGGAAUUCGUGGUGUAGCGGUGAAAUGCUUAGAUAUCACGAAGAACUCCGAUUGCGAAGGCAGUUCACUGGACUGCAACUGACACUGAGGCUCGAAAGUGUGGGUAUCAAACAGGAUUAGAUACCCUUGUAGUC
rnacentral:rRNA from 1 species